UACGGGGGGGGGCAAGCGUUGUUCGGAAUUACUGGGCGUAAAGGGCUCGUAGGCGGCCAACUAAGUCAGACGUGAAAUCCCUCGGCUUAACCGGGGAACUGCGUCUGAUACUGGAUGGCUUGAGUUCGGGAGAGGGAUGCGGAAUUCCAGGUGUAGCGGUGAAAUGCGUAGAUAUCUGGAGGAACACCGGGUGGCGAAGGCGGCAUCCUGGACCGACACUGACGCUGAGGACGAAGCCAGGG
rnacentral:rRNA from 1 species